UACGUAGGGGGCUAGCGUUGUCCGGAAUCAUUGGGCGUAAAGCGCGUGUAGGCGGCCCGGUAAGUCCGCUGUGAAAGUCGGGGGCUCAACCCUCGGAUGCCGGUGGAUACUGUCGGGCUAGAGUACGGAAGAGGCGAGUGGAAUUCCUGGUGUAGCGGUGAAAUGCGCAGAUAUCAGGAGGAACACCAAUUGCGAAGGCAGCUCGCUGGGACGUUACUGACGCUGAGACGCGAAAGCGUGGGGAGCAAACGGG
rnacentral:rRNA from 1 species